CCCCGAGACGCCGCCGGGCCCCUCCCGCAGCCCGUGCCCCUCCGCACCCGUGCGUGGAGGUGUCGGGCUCCGGCUGCGGGCGGCGGGAGAUUUAAACCCGGCGGCCUGGCGCGCGCGGCGUCUCGGCCCGGCGUCCGCGUUCUCGCCCUCUCGGGCCCUCGGUCGGUUUGGGGAUCGACUCCGGGACCCAUUCCGGUCCUCCUUCGCCAGAUUCCGGGUUAUUAACAAACACCGCAGCGCUCAGAGCAUCGGAGUGAAGGAACUGAGCGUGAGACCUCUGAGGCGUUCCAGGUCACUCCAGAAAGUGGGCAAGUGGAGGCGGUUUAAGAAUGGUUUCAGCAAACACGGUGGAGCUACUGACGCUCCUGGGCAAGAAUCAGGCUUUCUUAAUCAGGCUUCUACAAGUGAACUAGAAGACCAUUAGAUGACUUGGGAUGUCACUUGGGAGCUUUGAGAGGCUCCACAAAUCUGGGAUCCCAGAACAAUAAACAGCAAUGAUCUUUUGCACUAUCAAGCAGACCUCUGGAUCAGGGAUCUACUGAACCUGAUAUCGUGGAAAUAGCUCCAUUUCUUCAAGGUGUUCCAGUUUCCUUUUCAUCUGUUUGACCUUAUCAAGGAAAUCAGAAGUAACAGGUCAGUGG